GCAUAUCAAUAAGCGGAGGAAAAGAAACUAACAAGGAUUCCCCUAGUAACUGCGAGUGAAGCGGGAAAAGCUCAAAUUUAAAAUCUGGUGGCCUUUGGCCAUCCGAGUUGUAAUUUAGAGAAGCGUCUUCCGCGCUGGACCGUGCACAAGUCUCCUGGAAUGGAGCGUCAUAGAGGGUGAGAAUCCCGUCUUUGGCACGGACUCCCGGUGCUUCUGUGAUGCGCUCUCGACGAGUCGAGUUGUUUGGGAAUGCAGCUCAAAAUGGGUGGUGAACUCCAUCUAAAGCUAAAUACUGGCGAGAGACCGAUAGCGAACAAGUACCGUGAGGGAAAGAUGAAAAGCACUUUGGAAAGAGAGUGAAACAGUACGUGAAAUUGUUGAAAGGGAAACGCUUGAAGUCAGUCGCGUCGACCGAGACUCAGCCUUGCCUCGGCUUGGUGUACUUCUCGGCUUGACGGGUCAGCAUCAAUUUCGAUCCUCGGAUAAUGGCAAGGGAAAGGUGGCACCUUUUUAGGUGUGUUAUAGUCCUCUGUCGCAUGYGAGGGUCGGGAUUGAGGAACUCAGCACGCGCCUCCGGGUGUCGGGGCCUCGGCCCACGUUACGUGCUUAGGAUGCUGGCGUAAUGGCUUUAAACGACCCGUCUUGAAACACGGACC
rnacentral:rRNA from 1 species